rnacentral:piRNA from 1 species
GACUCAACGAACUGCAUGGUGUUGUGA